rnacentral:rRNA from 1 species
GGGGAAUAUUGCACAAUGGGGGAAACCCUGAUGCAGCGACGCCGCGUGAGGGAAGAAGGUUUUCGGAUUGUAAACCUCUGUCCUCAAGGAAGAUAAUGACGGUACUUGAGGAGGAAGCCACGGCUAACUACGUGCCAGCAGCCGCGGUAAUACGUAGGUGGCAAGAGUUGUCCGGAAUUACGGGGUGUAAAGGGAGCGUAGGCGGGAAGGCAAGUUGAAUGUGAAAACUAUGGGCUCAACCCAUAGUUGCGUUCAAAACUGUUUUUCUUGAGUGAAGUAGAGGUAGGCGGAAUUCCUAGUGUAGCGGUGAAAUGCGUAAAUAUUAGGAGGAACACCAGUGGCGAAGGCGGCCUACUGGGCUUUAACUAACGCUGAGGCUCGAAAGCGUGGGUAGCAAAC